rnacentral:rRNA from 1 species
UACAGAGGGUGCGAGCGUUAAUCGGAAUUACUGGGCGUAAAGCGUGCGUAGACGGUUAUGUAAGUCGGAUGUGAAAGCCCCGGGCUCAACCUGGGAAUUGCAUUCGAGACUGCAUAGCUAGGAUGCGGGAAGAGGGAAGUGGAAUUUCCGGUGUAGCGGUGAAAUGCGUAGAUAUCGGAAGGAACAUCAGUGGCGAAAGCGACUUCCUGGUCCAGCAUCGACGUUCAGGCACGAAAGCGUGGGGAGCAAACAGG